rnacentral:rRNA from 1 species
GUCCCAUUAGCUAGUUGGUGGGGUAAAGGCCUACCAAGGCGACGAUGGGUAGCCGGCCUGAGAGGGUGUCCGGCCACACUGGGAUUGAGAUACGGCCCAGACUCCUUCGGGAGGCAGCAGUCGAGAAUCUUCCACAAUGUACGAAAGUAUGAUGGAGCGACGCCGCGUGUGUGAUGAAGGCUCAACGAGUUGUAAAGCACUGUCAGGGGGGAAGAAUCAGCGCAUAACUAAUAAAUAUGCGCUCUGACGUACCCCCAGAGGAAGCUCCGGCUAACUCCGUGCCAGCAGCCGCGGUAAUACGGAGGGAGCAAGCGUUGUCCGGAAUUAUUGGGCGUAAAGGGCACGCAGGCGGUUCGGUAAGUCGAAUGUGAAAUCUUACAGCUUAACUGUAAAACUGCGUUCGAAACUACCGAACUUGAGUACUGGAGAGGUAUGCGGAAUUCCUGGUGGAGCGGUGGAAUGCGUGGAUAUCAGGAAGAACACCGGUGGCGAAGGCGGCAUACUGGCCAAGUACUGACGCUCAGGUGCGAAAGCGUGGGGAGCAAACGGGAUUAGAUACCCCGGUAGUCACGCUGUAAACGAUGGGUACUAGGUUUUGGAGGUCUCAACCCCUUCAGAGCCGCAGCUAACGCAUUAAGUACCCCGUCUGGGGAAUACGGUCGCAAGGCUGAAACUCAAAGGAAUUGACGGGGGCCCGCACAAGCGGUGGAGCAUGUGUUUUAAUUCGAAGCAACGCGAAGAACCUUACCAGGGUAUGACAUGUGAGCUUCGACCUUCGGGAAGAGGUUAAUCCUGUGAAAGCAGGACGAAUCACACAGGUGUUGCAUGGCUGUCGUCAGCUCGUGUCGUGAGAUGUUGGGUUAAGUCCCGCAACGAGCGCAACCCUUGCUGUUAGUUACCAUCGGGUAAUGCCGGGGACUCUAGCAGGACUGCCGGUGAUAAACCGGAGGAAGGUGGGGAUGAUGUCAAGUCAUUAUGACCCUUUACACCUUGGGCUAACCACGUGCUACAAUGGUCGGUACAAAGGGGAGCGAUACCGCGAGGUGGAGCAAAUCCCAAAAAGCCGGCCUCAGUACGGAUUGCAGUCUGCAACUCGACUGCAUGAAGCUGGAAUCGCUAGUAAUCGUGGAUCAGCAUGCCACGGUGAUACGUUCCCGGGCCUUGUACACACCGCCCGUCAAGCCAUGGAAGUUGGUAGCACUCGAAGUCGUCGACCCAACCUAGUGAGGGAGACGCCGAAAGUGAGACUG